rnacentral:rRNA from 1 species
GACGAACGCUGGCGGCGUGCUUAACACAUGCAAGUCGAACGGAAAGGCCCUGCUUUUGUGGGGUGCUCGAGUGGCGAACGGGUGAGUAACACGUGAGUAACCUGCCCUUGACUUUGGGAUAACUUCAGGAAACUGGGGCUAAUACCGGAUAGGAGCUCCUGCUGCAUGGUGGGGGUUGGAAAGUUUGGGCGGUCUGGGCUGGACUCGCGGGUUAUCAGCUUGUUGGUGGGGUAGUGGCGUACCAAGGAUUUGACGGGGAGCCGGCCUGCGAGCGUGACCGGGCACAUUGGGACUGAGGUACGGACCAGACUCCUACGGGAGGCAGCAGUGGAGAAUAUUGCGCAAUGGGCGGGAGCCUGAUGCAGCAACGCCGCGUGCGGGAUGACGGCCUUCGGGUUGUAAACCGCUUUCGCCUGUGACGAAGCGUGAGUGACGGUAAUGGGUAAAGAAGCACCGGCUAACUACGUG